CAGGGGUCCCCAGGAGCAGAUGCUGGGGAUUGUAGGGAAGACCUCCUACACCACCCAGACCACUGUCCCAGGUGGUUGUCCACCGGAAAGUGGUCCAGAAGCCAGAGCCCACGGAGGCCAAGGCCGAGGCUGCUCCACCCUCUGAGGAGCUAGAGCUGGCUCCCACUCCAUCAGCAGCUCUGGGGGGAGGGGUGGUGCCUACGGCGACUUCAGGAGCACACCAGGAGCCGGCAGGGCUCCCAGAGCCACAUCCAGAGCCCACAGCCCUGCAGGGAGAGCUCCUUGUACCAUCACCGGACCCCGACCCCUCGCCAGAGUGUUUCAUCCCCUUAGUUCCAUUGCCGGACCCUGACGCCUCAUCAGAGUGUUUCAUCCCCUCCCCCGAUGUUCUUUCCCUCUGGUUCAUAUUAACUGUUAUUUUAUCUUUUC